CCUACGGGGGGCAGCAGUGAGGAAUAUUGGUCAAUGGACGAAAGUCUGAACCAGCCAAGUAGCGUGAAGGAUGACUGCCCUAUGGGUUGUAAACUUCUUUUAUAUGGGAAUAAAACGUUCCACGUGUGGGAUUUUGUAUGUACCAUAUGAAUAAGGAUCGGCUAACUCCGUGCCAGCAGCCGCGGUAAUACGGAGGAUCCGAGCGUUAUCCGGAUUUAUUGGGGUUAAAGGGAGCGUAGGUGGAUUGUUAAGUCAGUUGUGAAAGUUUGCGGCUCAACCGUAAAAUUGCAGUUGAAACUGGCAGCCUUGAGUACAGGAGAGGUGGGCGGAAUGCGUGGUGUAGCGGUGAAAUGCUUAGAUAUCACGAAGAACCCCGAUUGCGAAGGCAGUUCACUGGACUGCAACUGACACUGAGGCUCGAAAGUGUGGGGAUCAAACAGGAUUAGAUACCCCUGUAGUC
rnacentral:rRNA from 1 species